rnacentral:misc_RNA from 1 species
GCGGGCGAUCGAGUCAGUCGGGCAUCGAUCAAUCGAACGAAGUGCCUGACGUCACGAGAACAUCCUGGACUCUCACUCUGGAGUAGGCAAUGCGUACGGGCCGACUGAUUCAAAGGCGCGGGUUCACGCUCGUUGAGACGGUAGUGACGAUUGGGAUCAUCGCCGCAUUGGCGGCCGUGGUUUAUCCCACCGUGGUGCGGCAGUUCGACACUGCCGAUCCCACGAGAGCAGCCGAAGAUCUCAACAACAUCCGCACGGGAAUCGAAGCGUUCGGCGUGAACGUUCGG